rnacentral:rRNA from 1 species
UGAUUAGGGUUUGAUCAUGGCUCAGAUUGAACGCUGGCGAUAUGCUUAACACAUGCAAGUCGAACGGAAACGAUACUAGCUUGCUAGUAGGCGUCGAGUGGCGGACGGGUGAGUAACGCGUAGGAAUCUGCNUGAUAGUGGGGGAUAGCCCGAAGAAAUUCGGAUUAAUACCGCAUAAUCUAUUCGUAGUAAAGUGGGGGACUUUCGAGCCUCACGCUAUCAGAUGAGCCUGCGUAAGAUUAGCUUGUUGGUAGGGUAAAAGCCUACCAAGGCGACGAUCUUUAGCUGGUCUGAGAGGAUGAUCAGCCACAUCGGGACUGAGACACGGCCCGAACUCCUACGGGAGGCAGCAGUGGGGAAUAUUGGACAAUGGGGGCAACCCUGAUCCAGCAAUACCGCGUGUGUGAAGAAGGCCUGAGGGUUGUAAAGCACUUUCAAUUGUGAAGAAAAGUUAGCGGUUAAUAACCGUUAGCCUUGACGUUAACUUUAGAAGAAGCACCGGCUAACUCCGUGCCAGCAGCCGCGGUAAUACGGAGGGUGCAAGCGUUAAUCGGAAUUACUGGGCGUAAAGCGUGCGUAGGCGGUUUAUUAAGUCAGAUGUGAAAGCCCCGGGCUUAACCUGGGAACUGCAUUUGAAACUGGUCAACUAGAGUAUGGUAGAGGAAAGUGGAAUUUCUGGUGUAGCGGUGAAAUGCGUAGAUAUCAGAAGGAACAUCAAUGGCGAAGGCAGCUUUCUGGACCAAUACUGACGCUGAGGUACGAAAGCGUGGGUAGCAAACAGGAUUAGAUACCCUGGUAGUCCACGCCGUAAACGAUGAUAACUAGCCGUUGGGGGGAUUUACCCUUUAGUGGCGAAGCUAACGCGUUAAGUUAUCCGCCUGGGGAGUACGGCCGCAAGGUUAAAACUCAAAUGAAUUGACGG